CAUGUCAAAGUAGUCCUUGCGGCAAUAGGCUUUGCCAUCCUUCUCAUGAAAUCCUUCAGGUCCAAAGAAAACUCCACACUGGGCACAGAAAAAGUGUUCAGGGUGCCACGUCCUGUCCAAAGCCGUCACCACUUUAUCAAGGAUUGGCCCAUUGCAGUAGUAGCAGCGAGGAGAGAAGAGGUUGUGAUAGUCCUUCUCACAGUAGGGCUGCCCAUCCCGCUCAAAGAAGUUCCGUGAUCCAAUCUCCUCCUGGCAGUGGGUGCAGACGAAGUGCUCAGGGUGCCAGGUCUUCCCCAUGGCUGUAACUACCUGUUGGGAAGACAGAUUAUGAAGGACAACUCCAUCUCACUCUCCCCAGACCACAUGACAAGACACCAGCUGGAGGUCAGCAAGAAUGGCAAGUUCUACUACUCAAGUGAG
rnacentral:lncRNA from 1 species